rnacentral:lncRNA from 1 species
AAAAAAAGUAGUCCUUCAUUUUUUUGUUUUUGUUUUUCCUUGAGUCUUCUUUUGUCUUCCUUAUCCUGUUGUUUUUCUCUUCCGAGUGUCCCCAGGCUCCGAGGCAAACUAUUAACUUGGUGCAGAGGGGCCCUAGUGCAGUAAUAUUUCUAGCUUAAUUGAUUUUUUUAUCUGAAUUUUGAAGGUGCUUUUGUAUUAUUGUUUUAAUACUCUUCCUUUCCAUAAUGUUGACAUAGGGAAUUUGGUAGCCUUCUCCGAGUAGGUGGGGCUCUGACUUAUUUUAUCAUUUUUUGUCCAUGAGCUAUUUUAAGUUGAAUUCAUCAGUUAUUUACCAACUUGUUUUGUGAUCCUGAUCUUUGCAUUAUCCACUGACAAUCAGAAGCCUAAGCUUGACCUCUUAUUAUGAUAGGCUGUGAUGUAUUAUCUUUCGUGGUUUGCUCCUGGUUUCGUGCAAUGGGUAGUUCUGAACUCGACUUGUCAGAUUUUUCUUGCUUUUAAUUGUUUUACGCCUAACAUGGAAAAUUUCAAUUCUUUUCUAUUUUGCAACUUCCCUGCUGCCACUGUUGGCAUUUUGCUGCUAUCAAGGAUACUGCCAUCCGGUAAUUCCAAACUGGGAAGCCUGUAAAUUGUGUUUCAUAUGUUAAUAAUUUGGUCUUUUCUUAUUGAUAAUAUUACUGUGAGAGAACUUCGGCCUACAUAAUUACGUCAACCGGUGUUUGCAGUUCCUUAAUUGAUUGCAUUUUGUUCUCUCUUUUGUUUUUUUUAAAUGUUUUUAAUCUGUGUGGUUGUCUACUGUGCAUUGUUCCUAGGUUGACUUGGAAAAAACUAGAGUAUUUAGUCGUUGAGGUUCGAAAAAUUAAUUGUAUUAUGUGGUUUUGUAAAUUGUAAUAAAUUUUGAUCUAAUGUACAUCACUUGUAUCUUAUGUAUAAUAAUUUAUCUCAUUUUGAAGGAUAUAUUUUUGACUCUUGAACAUUUUGACUAAGCCUUGUCAGUGGUUUUGGAGCAGGCAUUCUUACUCUUUUCUAUAUCAGCAUUCACAUUUAUUUCUAAACAAAAAAUAUCAAGCCCAACAAUUAACUUUCUACUUUUGUUUUGAAGGAAUUUCGGUUGAAGGUUAUCUACAUCAAUAACAUUAUCCUUUGGUCCCCGUGUUGCAGUCCAGUGGUUACCCAAUUUAUAGUGUUUUAUUUGUCAUUCUUUUUGUUUUUCAUUUAGCCCUUUGUUUUUGUGCAUCUUAUCCCUCUCUUUCUCUCGCAUUUUUUUCUUCCAGAGAUUAGAAGUAGUGUUGCAUGUGUUUUUGGGGAAGUUAUCAACAUGGUGCAUUGAACCCUUGGUGGUUUACCUUUCAAACCUUUGUUCAUUUCUUUUCUACACAUUGAGUGUCUAAUUUUAUUGAUUAUUCUUUAAAUACUCUUCCCUGAUUUACUACAUGGUCAACUUGAGAUGGCAUUUGCUAUCUAGUUUUGGCUAGUUUCAUGUUCUAUGUGUAUCUUUAGUUAUUGAAUUGAAUUUUCAGUACCUUUUCUUUUGAGAAGUUAACAAUAAAAAGUAAUCCUUCGUACGUUGUUUUUGUUCUUCCUUUAGUCUCAUUCUACUCCCUUAUCCCCUAGUUUUUAUGUUCAGUGUUCCAAGGGAUAGUGGGUCUUUAGCGAAAUAAAUUUGUCUGGCAUAGUUAAAUUCUUUUCUGAAAUUUUAUGGUGCUUACCUAUUGUAUUCUUGUUUUAAUGGUCUUCCCAUCCGAUUAUGUUGACAUAUAGGGCAUUUGGUAACCUUCUUUAUUGGAGGAGGCGAGGUUCUGACUUAUUUUAUUUUUUUUGUCCAAAAUUAUCUGGAAUUGUAUUCAUUGGUUAUCUAACAGCUUGUUUUGUGACCCUUGUCUUUCUGUUGUCCACUGACAUUCAGAAGCCUAAGCUGGACCUCUUAUUAUGAAGGCUGUUGUGUAUUCUCUUCCUUGUUUGCUCCUGGUUUCAUGCAAUGGGUAGUUCUGGACUCAAUAAUUUUCAGUUUUUUCUUAUUUGUUACCUAACCAGUUAUCGUCUAACAUUUCACAUUUGAAUCAUCUUCUAUUGUGGACUUCCCCACCACUGUUGUUGCUACUAUCAAGGUAGUGUUAUCUUGUACUACCAAAUAGGAAGCAUGUAAAUUGUGUCUUAUGUUAAUAGUUUUGUCUUUUCUUUAUGAUAAUCUUACUGUGAGAGAACUUUGGUCUACGUUGUAACAUCAACCGGUGUUUGCAGUUCCUUAAUUGAUUGCAUUUUCUUCUCUCUUUUUAUUUCUUUUUUAAAAUUUUCUAAUAUGUUUGUGGUUGUCUACACUGCAUUGUUUCUAGGUAAAGAUAAUAUUACUGUGAGAGAUCUUGGGUCUACGUUGUAACAUCAACGGGUGCUUGCAGCUCCUUAAUUGAUUGCGUUUUCUUCUCUUAUGUUUUUUUAUUAAAAUUUGUUCAAAUAGUCAACAAUUAACUUUUUAUUUUGUUUUGAAGGUUAUCCACAUCCAUAAUUUGGCAUUCGUUUUUUUCUUCAUUAAGCCCUUUAUUUUUGUGCGCCUUAUCUCUUACUUUCUCUCUCAUUUUUCCCCCAGAUUAGAAGUAGAGUUGCACGUGUUUUGGGGCUAGUUAUCAACAUUGUUCAUUGAGCCCUUGGUGGUUACCUUUUCCAACCUUGUUGAUUUAUCCACAUCAAUAUAUUUAUGCUUUGAUGGAGGUUUUUCAAUCCAGUGGUUACCCAAUUUGACGUGUUUUCUUUGUCAUUCGUUUCUUAUUCCUCACCAACUUUUUUCUGCUCGUCAUAUUCUCUCUCAUUUUUUUCAGAGAUUAGAAGUAAAGCUGCACAUUUGUUUGGGGGGAGGUAUCAACAUGGUGCAUUGAGCCUUUGGUGGUUUACCCUUUUCUAACCUUGCUCAUUUCGGAUCAUGCAUUCAUACUCUUCUUUUUAAUUUCCGCAUUCACUUUUAUUUCGAACUAGAAAAUAUCAAGCCCAACAAUUAACUUUUAAUUUUUGUUUUGAAGGAAUUUUGUUUGAAUGUUAUUUGCAUCAAUAACAUUAUCCUUUGGUCCCCGUGUUUCAGUCUAGUGGUUACCCAAUUUGAUGUGUUUUAAUUGUCAUUCUUUUUUUGCUCUUCAUUUAGCCCUUUGUUUUUGUGCAUCUUAUCCCUCUCUUUCUCUCGCAUUUUUUUUCUUCUAGAGAUUAGAAGUAGAGUUGCAUGUGUUUUGGGGUAAGUUAUCAACAUGGUGCAUUAAGCCCUUGGUGGUUUACCUUUCAAACCUUGUUUAUUAAUCCACAUCAAUGCCAUUAUGCUUUGGUGGGGGUGUUUCAAUCCUUUGGUUACCCAGUUUGACGUGUUUUUUUUAAUUCGUUUCUUAUUCCUCAUUAAGCCCUUUUUCUGUAUCUUAUUAUCUCUUUUUUUUUCAGAGCUUAGAAGUAAAUCUGCACAUUUGUUUAGGGGGAGUUAUCAACGUGGUGCAUUGAUCCCUUGGUGGUUUACCUUUUCUAACCUUGGUCAUUUCUUUUAUAGAGAUUGAGGUGCCUAAAUUUAUGAAUUAUUAUUUAAAUACCCUUCCCUAUUUUUUGUUUACAACUUGUCAUGGCAUUCACUAUCGAGUUCUUGCUAGUUACCUGUUCUCUGGGUAAUUUUAGUUAUAUACUUGAAUUUUCUGUACCUUAUUAUUUUUUCCUUGAUUAGUUGACAAAAAAAAGUAGUCGUCCUUCAUUUUUUUGUUUUUGUUUUUUCUUGAGUUCUUUUUCUUCCUUAUCCUGUCGUUUUUCUCUUCCGAGUGUCCCCAGGCUCAGAGGCAAACUAUUAACUUGGUGCAGAGGGGCCCUAGUGCAAUAAUAUUUCUAGCUUAAUUGAUUUUUUUAUCUGAAUUUUGAAGGUGCUUUUGUUUUCUUGUUUUAAUACCUCCUUUCCAUAAUGUUGACAUAGGGAAUUUGGUAGCCUUCUCUGAGUAGGUGAGGCUCUGACUUAUUUAAUCAUUUUUUGUCCACGAGUUAUUUUAAGUUGAAUUCAUCAGUUAUUUACCAACUUGUUUUGUGAUCCUGAUCUUUGCAUUAUCCACUGACAAUCAGAAGCCUAAGCUGGACCUCUUAUUAUGAUAGGCUGUGAUGUAUUAUCUUCGUGGUUUGCUCCUGGUUUCGUGCAAUGGGUAGUUGUGAACUCGACUUGUCAGAUUUUUCUUGCUUUUAAUUGUUUUACGCCUAACAUGGCAAAUUUCAAUUCUUUUCUAUUUUGCAACUUCCCUGCUGCCGCUGUUGGCAUUUUGCUGCUAUCAAGGAUAGUGUCAUCCGGUAAUUCCAAACUGGGAAGCCUGUAGAUUGUGUUUCAUAAGUUAAUAAUUUGGUCUUUUCUUAUUGAUAAUAUUACUGUGAGAGAACUUCGGUCUACAUAAUUACGUCAACCGGUGUUUGCAGUUCCUUAAUUGAUUGCAUUUUGUUCUCUCUUUUCUCAUUUAUUUUUUUAAAUGUUUUUAAUAUGUGUGGUUGUCUACUGUGCAUUGUUCCUAGGUUGACUUGGAAAAAACUAGAGUAUUUAGUCGUUGAGGUUCGAAAAAUUAAUUGUAUUAUGUGGUUUUGUAAAUUGUAAUAAAUUUUGAUUUAAUGUACAUCACUUGUAUCUUAUGUAUAAUAAUUUAUCUCAUUUUGCAGGAUAUAUUUUUGACUCUUGAACAUUUUGACUAAGCCUUGUCAGUGGUUUUGGAGCAGGCAUUCUUACUCUUUUCUAUAUCAGCAUUCACAUUUAUUUCUAAACAAAAAAUAUCAGGCCCAACAAUUAACUUUUUACUUUUGUUUUGAAGGAAUUUUGGUUGAAGGUUAUCUACAUCAAUAACAUUAUCCUUUGGUCCCCGUGUUUCAGUCCAGUGGUUACCCAAUUUGUAGUGUUUUAUUUGUCAUUCUUUUUGUUUUUCAUUUAGCCCUUUGUUUUUGUGCAUCUUAUCCCUCUCUUUCUCUCGCAUUUUUUUCUUCCAGAGAUUAGAAGUAGUGCUGCAUGUGUUUUUGGGGAAGUUAUCAACGUGGUGCAUUGAUCCCUUGGUGGUUUACCUUUUCUAACCUUGGUCAUUUCUUUUUUAGAGAUUGAGGUGCCUAAAUUUAUGAAUUAUUAUUUAAAUACCCUUCCCUAUUUUAUGUUUACAACUUGUCUUGGCAUUCACUAUCGAGUUCUUGCUAGUUACCUGUUCUCUGGGUAAUUUUAGUUAUUGACUUGAAUUUUCUGUACCUUUUUAUUUUUUCCUUGAUUAGUUGACAAAAAAAAGUAGUCCUUCAUGUUUUUGUUUUUCCUUGUCUUCUUUUUCUUCCUUAUCCUGUUGUUUUUCUCUUCCGAGUGUCCCCAGGCUCAGAGGCAAACUAUUAACUUGGUGCAGAGGGGCCCUAGUGCAAUAAUAUUUCUAGCUUAAUUGAUUUUUUUAUCUGAAUUUUGAAGGUGCUUUUGUUUUCUUGUUUUAAUACUCUUCCUUUCCAUAAUGUUGACAUAGGGAAUUUGGUAGCCUUCUCCGAGUAGGUGGGGCUCUGACUUAUUUAAUCAUUUUUUGUCCACAAGUUAUUUUAAGUUGGAUUCAUCAGUUAUUUACCAACUUGUUUUGUGAUCCUGAUCUUUGCAUUAUCUUUCUUGGUUUGCUCCUGGUUUCGUGCAAUGGGUAGUUGUGAACUCGACUUGUCAGAUUUUUCUUGCUUUUAAUUGUUUUACGCCUAACAUGGAAAAUUUCAAUUCUUUUCUAUUUUGCAACUUCCCUGCUGCCACUGUUGGCAUUUUGCUGCUAUCAAGGAUACUGCCAUCCGGUAAUUCCAAACUGGGAAGCCUGUAAAUUGUGUUUCAUAUGUUAAUAAUUUGGUCCUUUUCUUAUUGAUAAUAUUACUGUGAGAGAACUUCGGCCUACAUAAUUACGUCAACCGGUGUUUACAGUUCCUUAAUUGAUUGCAUUUUGUUCUCUCUUUUGUUUUUUUAAAUGUUUUUAAUCUGUGUGGUUGUCUACUGUGCAUUGUUCCUAGGUUGACUUGGAAAAAACUAGAGUAUUUAGUCGUUGAGGUUCGAAAAAUUAAUUGUAUUAUGUGGUUUUGUAAAUUGUAAUAAAUUUUGAUCUAAUGUACAUCACUUGUAUCUUAUGUAUAAUAAUUUAUCUCAUUUUGCAGGAUAUAUUUUUGACUCUUGAACAUUUUGACUAAGCCUUGUCAGUGGUUUUGGAGCAGGCAUUCUUACUCUUUUCUAUAUCAGCAUUCACAUUUAUUUCUAAACAAAAAAUAUCAAGCCCAACAAUUAACUUUUUACUUUUGUUUUGAAGGAAUUUUGGUUGAAGGUUAUCUACAUAAAUAACAUUAUCCUUUGGUCCCCGUGUUUCAGUCCCGUGGUUACCCAAUUUGUAGUGUUUUAUUUGUCUUUCUUUUUGUUUUUCAUUUAGCCCUUUGUUUUUGUGCAUCUUAUCCCUCUCUUUCUCUCACAUUUUUCACUUCCAGAGAUUAGAAGUAGUGCUGCAUGUGUUUUUGGGGAAGUUAUCAACAUGGUGCAUUGAACCCUUGGUGGUUUACCUUUUAAACCUUUGUUCAUUUCUUUUCUACACAUUGAGUGCCUAAUUUUAUUGAUUAUUCUUUAAAUACUCUUCCCUGAUUUACUACGUGGUCAACUUGAGAUGGCAUUUGCUAUCUAGUUUUGGCUAGUUUCAUGUUCUCUGUGUAUCUUUAGUUAUUGAAUUGAAUUUUCAGUACCUUUUCUUUUGAGAAGUUAACAAUAAAAAGUAAUCCUUCGUACGUUGUUUUUGUUCUUCCUUUAGUCUCAUUCUACUCCCUUAUCCCCUAGUUUUUAUGUUCAGUGUUCCAAGGGAUAGUGGGUCUUUAGCGAAAUAAAUUUGUCUGGCAUAGUUAAAUUCUUUUCUGAAAUUUUAUGGUGCUUACCUAUUGUAUUCUUGUUUUAAUGGUCUUCCCAACCUAUUAUGUUGACAUAUAGGGCAUUUGGUAACCUUCUUUAUUGGAGGAGGCGAGGUUCUGACUUAUUUUAUUUUUUUUGUCCAAAAUUAUCUUGAAUUGUAUUCAUUGGUUAUUUAACAGCUUGUUUUGUGACCCUUGUCUUUCUGUUGUCUACUGACAUUCAGAAGCCUAAGCUGGAACUCUUGUUAUGAAGGCUGUUGUUUAUUCUCUUCCUGGUUUGCUCCUUGUUUCAUGCAAUGGGUAGUUCUGGACUCAAUAAUUGGCAGUUUUUUCUUGUUUGUUACCUAACCAAUUAUCGUCUAACACGGCACAUUUGAGUCCUCUUAUAUUUUGGACUUACCCAUCAUUAUGUUGCUACUAUCAAGAAUAGUGCCAUCUUGUACUAUUAUCAAAUAGGGAAGCCUGUAAAUUGUGUCUCAUGUUAAUAGAUUGGUCUUUUCUUUAUUAUAAUCUUACUGUGAGAGAACUUUGGUCUACGUUGUAUCAUCAACAGGUGUUUGCCGUUCCUUAAUUGAUUGCAUUUUCUUCUCUCUUUUUGUUUUCUUUUUUUUAAAUUUUCUAAUCUGUUUGUGGUUGUAUACCCUGCAUUGUUUCUAGGUAAAGAUAAUAUUACUGUGAGAGAUCUUUGGUCUUUACUUUGCAAUGUCAACAUGUGUUUGCAGCUCCUUAAUUGAUUGUGUUUUCUUGUCUCUUUGUGUUUUAAAAAAUUUUAAUCUGUGUGAUUGUCAUUGUUCUUAGGUUGACUUUGUAAAAGACUAGAGUAUUUAGUCAUUGAGGUUUGAAAAAUUAAUGGCGUUGUGGUGCUUUUUAAUCAUAGUUUUGUUUAAAUAUCCAUCAGUAUUAUCUUCUGUGUAAUAGUUUCUCAUUUCGCAGGAUAUAUUUGUCUCUUGACAUUUUGACUAAGCCUUAUUAGUAGUGCUUUUGGAUUACACAUUCUUACUCUUCCUUUUCAAUUUCUGCAUUCUCAUUUAUUUCUAACCAGAAAAUUUUAAGCUCAGAUAGUAACUUUUUUACUUUUGUUUUGAAGGUUAUCACAUCAAUAACAUUAUCGUUUGGUGGGGGUGUUUCAGUUCAGUGGUUACCCAAUUUGACAUGUUUUAUUAGUCAUUCGUUGUUUGUUCUUCAUUAAGUCCAUUGUGCGUCUCGUCUCUCUCUCAUUUUUUUUCUUCCAGAGAUUAGAAGUGAGCUGCAUAUUUGUUUUUGGGGGAAGUUAUCAAAAUGGUUCAUUGGGCCUGUGGUUGUUUACCUUUUCUAAUUAAUUUCUUUUCUACCGCAUUGAGGUGCCUAAUUUUAUGGAUUAUUCUUUAAAUACACUUCCCUGAUUUAUGUGGUCAACUUCACAUGGCAUUUGCUAUCAAAAUUUGUUAGUUACCUAUUCUAUGUGCAUUUUCAGUUAUUGACUUGAAUUCCUUGAUAAGUUAAUGAAAAAAAGCAGUCGUCCUUCAUUUUUUGUUUUUCCUAAAUUUUAUCCUUAGUUUUUUGGUCUUCCUAGAGUCAUUCUUCUCGCUCAUCCUCUAGUUUUUCUCUUUUGAGUGUUCCCAGGCAUAGUUGUCCCCUAGUGAAAUAAUUUUGACUAGCAUAGUUGAUUUCUUAUCUGAAAUUUAUGGUGCUUACCUACAGUAUUAUUUGUUUUAAUACUCGUCCCUUCCCUUUAUGUUGACAUAGGGCAUUUUGGUAGGCUCCGACUUAUUAAUUGUUUUUUUAUCCUAAAUUUAUCUUGAGUUGUAUUAAUUGGUUAUUUAACAGCUUGUUUUGUGACACUUGUUUUUGUGUUAUCCACUGUCAUUCAG